rnacentral:rRNA from 1 species
UCUUGGUCAUUUAGAGGAAGUAAAAGUCGUAAUAAGGUUUCCGUAGGUGAACCUGCGGAAGGAUCAUUAGUAAAAGGAAAAGGGAGUUCUCUCAACCCCUUUCCAAAUCCUGUAUUCACCCCAAGUUCCUAAAAAUUUUUACAAUGAAAAACUUGCAAAAAGACCAUCCACGAACGGAUGGCGUCUAAUGCAAAAACGAAAACUUUCAACAACGGAUCUCUUGGCUCUCGCAUCGAUGAAGAACGCAGCGAAAUGCGAUAAGUAGUGUGAAUUGCAGACUAAGUGAAUCAUCGAAUCUUUGAACGCAUAUUGCGCUCUCUGGUAUUCCGGGGAGCAUACUUGUCUGAGGGUCGGUAAAACAAAUCCUCUGUUUUGAGGGUCAAUGGGCGCAUCCGUUAGCCAGUUUUUUUUUGGGUACCGGUCGCCUGAAAUAAUAUAGGUUCCGCAACAAUGCGGAUCGCGUAGUAAGUAAGCGUUUUACGCGCAAUGCAACUCGCGAUUAUGCAGUGGCGGUAAGCUAAACUUUAUAUAACACUUUCGUCUCGACCUCAGAUCAAGUAAGAAUACCCGCUGAACUUAAGCAUAUCAAUAAGCGGAGGAAAUCGGAUCCCGG